GCGGAUUUAAGUCAAUGGUAGACAAUUUCUCUUCCAAAGAAAAAGUGUUUGUUCGAAUCAAACAAUCCGUA
rnacentral:tRNA from 1 species